rnacentral:rRNA from 2 species
AAACUCAAAGGAAUUGACGGGGGCCCGCACAAGCAGUGGAGUAUGUGGAUUAAUUCGAAGCAACGCGAAGAACCUUACCAGGUCUUGACAUCGUAUGCAUAGCUCAGAGAUGAGUGAAAUCUCUUCGGAGACAUAUAGACAGGUGGUGCAUGGUUGUCGUCAGCUCGUGUCGUGAGAUGUUGGGUUAAGUCCCGCAACGAGCGCAACCCUUACUGUUAGUUGCUACGCAAGAGCACUCUAGCAGGACUGCCGUUGACAAAACGGAGGAAGGUGGGGAUGACGUCAAAUCAUCAUGCCCCUUAUGACCUGGGCCUCACACGUACUACAAUGGCUGUCAACAGAGGGAAGCAAAGCCGCGAGGUGGAGCAAACCCCUAAAAGCAGUCUUAGUUCGGAUUGUAGGCUGCAACCCGCCUACAUGAAGUCGGAAUUGCUAGUAAUCGCAGAUCAGCAUGCUGCGGUGAAUACGUUCCCGGGCCUCGUACACACCGCCCGUGG